rnacentral:rRNA from 1 species
UUAAGCGACUAAGCGUACACGGUGGAUGCCCUGGCAGUCAGAGGCGAUGAAGGACGUGCUAAUCUGCGAAAAGCGUCGGUAAGGUGAUAUGAACCGUUAUAACCGGCGAUGUCCGAAUGGGGAAACCCAGUGCAAUUCGUUGCACUAUCGUUAACUGAAUACAUAGGUUAACGAGGCGAACCGGGGGAACUGAAACAUCUAAGUACCCCGAGGAAAAGAAAUCAACCGAGAUUCCCCCAGUAGCGGCGAGCGAACGGGGAGCAGCCCAGAGUCUGAAUCAGCUUGUGUGUUAGUGGAACGGUCUGGAAAGUCCGACGGUACAGGGUGAUAGUCCCGUACACCAAAAUGCACAGGCUGUGAACUCGAAGAGUAGGGCGGGACACGUGGUAUCCUGUCUGAAUAUGGGGGGACCAUCCUCCAAGGCUAAAUACUCCUGACUGACCGAUAGUGAACCAGUACCGUGAGGGAAAGGCGAAAAGAACCCCGGCGAGGGGAGUGAAAAAGAACCUGAAACCGUGUACGUACAAGCAGUGGGAGCACCUUCGGGUGUGACUGCGUACCUUUUGUAUAAUGGGUCAGCGACUUAUAUUCUGUAGCAAGGUUAACCGUAUAGGGGAGCCGCAGGGAAACCGAGUCUUAACUGGGCGUUAAGUUGCAGGGUAUAGACCCGAAACCCGGUGAUCUAGCCAUGGGCAGGUUGAAGGUUGGGUAACACUAACUGGAGGACCGAACCGACUAAUGUUGAAAAAUUAGCGGAUGACUUGUGGCUGGGGGUGAAAGGCCAAUCAAACCGGGAGAUAGCUGGUUCUCCCCGAAAGCUAUUUAGGUAGCGCCUCGUGAACUCAUCUUCGGGGGUAGAGCACUGUUUCGGCUAGGGGGUCAUCCCGACUUACCAACCCGAUGCAAACUACGAAUACCGAAGAAUGUUAUCACGGGAGACACACGGCGGGUGCUAACGUCCGUCGUGAAGAGGGAAACAACCCAGACCGCCAGCUAAGGUCCCAAAGUCAUGGUUAAGUGGGAAACGAUGUGGGAAGGCACAGACAGCCAGGAUGUUGGCUUAGAAGCAGCCAUCAUUUAAAGAAAGCGUAAUAGCUCACUGGUCGAGUCGGCCUGCGCGGAAGAUGUAACGGGCUAAACCAUGCACCGAAGCUGCGGCAGCGACACUAUGUGUUGUUGGGUAGGGAGCGUUCUGUAAGCCUGCGAAGGUGACCUGUGAGGGUUGCUGGAGGUAUCAGAAGUGCGAAUGCUGACAUAAGUAACGAUAAAGCGGGUGAAAAGCCCGCUCGCCGGAAGACCAAGGGUUCCUGUCCAACGUUAAUCGGGGCAGGGUGAGUCGACCCCUAAGGCGAGGCCGAAAGGCGUAGUCGAUGGGAAACAGGUUAAUAUUCCUGUACUUGGUGUUACUGCGAAGGGGGGACGGAGAAGGCUAUGUUAGCCGGGCGACGGUUGUCCCGGUUUAAGCAUGUAGGCUGGUUGUCCAGGCAAAUCCGGAUAAUCAAGGCUGAGGUGUGAUGACGAGGUACUACGGUGCUGAAGUAACAAAUGCCCUGCUUCCAGGAAAAGCCUCUAAGCAUCAGGUAACAUCAAAUCGUACCCCAAACCGACACAGGUGGUCAGGUAGAGAAUACCAAGGCGCUUGAGAGAACUCGGGUGAAGGAACUAGGCAAAAUGGUGCCGUAACUUCGGGAGAAGGCACGCUGGUGUGUAGGUGAAGUCCCUGCGGAUGGAGCUGAGACCAGUCGAAGAUACCAGCUGGCUGCAACUGUUUAUUAAAAACACAGCACUGUGCAAACACGAAAGUGGACGUAUACGGUGUGACGCCUGCCCGGUGCCGGAAGGUUAAUUGAUGGGGUUAUCCGUAAGGAGAAGCUCUUGAUCGAAGCCCCGGUAAACGGCGGCCGUAACUAUAACGGUCCUAAGGUAGCGAAAUUCCUUGUCGGGUAAGUUCCGACCUGCACGAAUGGCGUAAUGAUGGCCAGGCUGUCUCCACCCGAGACUCAGUGAAAUUGAACUCGCUGUGAAGAUGCAGUGUACCCGCGGCAAGACGGAAAGACCCCGUGAACCUUUACUAUAGCUUGACACUGAACAUUGAGCCUUGAUGUGUAGGAUAGGUGGGAGGCUUUGAAGCGUGGACGCCAGUCUGCGUGGAGCCAACCUUGAAAUACCACCCUUUAAUGUUUGAUGUUCUAACGUUGGCCCCUGACCGGGGUUGCGGACAGUGUCUGGUGGGUAGUUUGACUGGGGCGGUCUCCUCCCAAAGCGUAACGGAGGAGCACGAAGGUUAGCUAAUCCUGGUCGGACAUCAGGAGGUUAGUGCAAUGGCAUAAGCUAGCUUGACUGCGAGCGUGACGGCGCGAGCAGGUGCGAAAGCAGGUCAUAGUGAUCCGGUGGUUCUGAAUGGAAGGGCCAUCGCUCAACGGAUAAAAGGUACUCCGGGGAUAACAGGCUGAUACCGCCCAAGAGUUCAUAUCGACGGCGGUGUUUGGCACCUCGAUGUCGGCUCAUCACAUCCUGGGGCUGAAGUAGGUCCCAAGGGUAUGGCUGUUCGCCAUUUAAAGUGGUACGCGAGCUGGGUUUAGAACGUCGUGAGACAGUUCGGUCCCUAUCUGCCGUGGGCGCUGGAGAAUUGAGGGGGGCUGCUCCUAGUACGAGAGGACCGGAGUGGACGCAUCACUGGUGUUCGGGUUGUCAUGCCAAUGGCACUGCCCGGUAGCUAAAUGCGGAAGAGAUAAGUGCUGAAAGCAUCUAAGCACGAAACUUGCCCCGAGAUGAGUUCUCCCUGAGACUUUAAGUCUCCUGAAGGAACGUUAAAGACGAUGACGUUGAUAGGCCGGGUGUGUAAGCGCAGCGAUGCGUUGAGCUAACCGGUACUAAUGAACCGUGAGGCUUAACCU